GGGGCCGCCCGGGCUGAGGGGCCCCGCCGAGGCGCUGAGGGGCGCCGGUGGCGGCCCUGGGCAGCCCGAUAAGGACGGCAAAAAGGAAGCCAGUGACACGUGUUAGGAAGAAAAAGCACCAGCAGAGGCUCCUUCCUCAUUAAUAACAUUUAAAACCACGCUGUGUCCUUGAGGGACGACCCCUCGGGCUUUUCGGAUUUUUUUUUUCCAGUACGAUUCCACACCCUUCAGUGCUGAGGACACCGGCUGAUGAGGCUCAAAAUCUCAAAGCUCUUUCGUAAAAAACUCGCUGUAUAAAUUAUGGAGAACAAAAGGGCUCGUUUUGCUGGCUCCCCGGUUUUCUGGUUUCAUGUGACUGCUUGUCUCAGUUAACAUUUCCACUGAGCGGUUCUAAGCCCGGUAAAGAGGGGAAGGAAUGGGCCCAAAGUGCAAGGAGGUUAAUCAGUAGUUACUGAUGUUAACGCAGGGGUUACUAAGUAGUCCCUGCUUUAAAACCUCUAUCAAUGAUUUUUGCAAAAACAUAAGCUCGCAAGUCACAAGAGCCUUUGAUACUAUCAGCGCGUUUUUACAUUUGCCUGGCUUCUUACAGUGAAGGAUUUUUAGUUGAAUAAUGUGGUGCAAGUAUCCUAGAUGAGAUGAGCGUGUUUCCAGGUUACCUCAUGCGGAAAGAUGCCGAUCAUCUUCAAUGACUCUGAGCUUUCACUUGUUUCUUGUUUUAAUUGAAACAAUGAAACAAUAGUUUCAUGUUGCAUGGAAGAGCAUAACAUAUAAAAAAACCACAAACAAACAACACUUUAAGUUUGACGUAUAAUUAUUUUAUCUGCCUGACAAAUGUGAGCUGAAAGAGGCCACCCAGAGCAGCCCUUACUUGCAUCUCUCUGCUCUGCCCAGUGCUCAGAUACACCAACAGCACCCUAGGGAUCUCCCCGGGGAAUGGUCCCACCCCGAGGCUGCCGGAGCUCCUGGAGCCUUUGGGCACCGCUGGGAUUGUUGGGGUGUCUGUGCAGGGACAGGAGCUGGAUUUAACGAUUCUUCCUUCUGCCCUACCAAUUUUCAGGUUUUGUACCAUUUAAAGUCUCACACAGCAGCCCGAAGACAAACCUGACUGCUCUGAGUUUCCUGUGCUCCCACCAUGGUUAAAUGAUUCUCCUCAGCUGAAAACUGUAGCUUAUUGCUCACAUGUUCAUGCAGUAAUGUCACAAAUUCACAUGCAUAAGGUGAAGUUACUUACGGACCAUGUAAACGAAAGUGAAACAGUUAACAGUCCUGCAGGAGAUAUCCCUUUCACUCCACGCUUUCUAAACACAAGAAGGAAUACCAUAUUGAAGGCCAGACUGCACUAUUUGGGCUUUCCUUCUUUCCCAUGGAAUAUUAUUUUUCUCCCUGCUUCUUUGUUUGGACAACUGGUUGUGACUACUUUGGUGCAAUUUAAAUAUCUUCUGCUUCCAGAGGCUGCAAACAGCUGCCCCUGAUCCACACUGCCUUCACAGCAGGUGCUAGCAUGGAUUACUUUCUGUGACCUCAUUGAUAUUCAUGAAAAGUCUGUGACUCUUGAGGCUUUAUAAACAUUUCUUGUUAUUAGGACACACAAAGAUCAGAAACACCAAAUAAGCCAGAUAUACCUAAGAAAGCAAGUUAAGAAUUGGACUAAUAUUUCUAACCAAUAGCUAAUCCUUUUGUGAAAAAGCUGACCAGCAGCAAAAAUUUAAAUCCAAAGAAAAGUAGUAAACUACUACUAAAAGUACUUUCCUAUUUUUCAGAGGUUUUUGUGCUAUAAAGAGACUCAGCCUAGUGAUACAGAUUAGAAAACAGCAACAGAUCCAAACCCUUUGGAAACUUGUGAACAUGCAAAGGAAGGGUAAGUAAGAAAAAGUCUGAGAGCCCCACUCUCCCAGGCAGAGCAGAGAGAGUCCUUUGAUGCUUGGUGCUGUUACUGAAUGGUUACUUCUGCAUGCAGAGGAGUUCAGAGAGGAAAGCAGCUACACUGAGGUAUAACAUAAAACCCCAUUUUCUUCAGGCUUAUCUCUGGUUUUUCCUGAAAUACUCCCUUUUUUAUCUUUCUGACCUUUGAACUCUGCCAAAAGCACCAUCUGGUGUUGAGGUACCUUGCAAAACCUUUCCCCACUUCUUGUAUUUGGAUUAAUUUACCCUCAUCAUGAAACUUAUAAACCUGCUACAUCAUAUCAACUGCAUGAUGGAGAUUGACAAAAAAUCUUUCUACUUGCAAGAGAUUGGGGAAAAACUCCAAAGUUGAACUGUAACUACAGCUAUUAAAGUUUAAAAACUAAAGUUAAAACAGUGUGCAGCUCAUCAAGCAGAGGACCUCUCUGCUCAGCAGUGAAACGAGGAACAAAAAAUUGUAACUGGUUUAUGGAGUUCCUUUUGUCAGACUGAUUUUUUAUCUGAGGAAGGAGUUUCAAUGGCUCCAUAUGCAGAGCAAGCAAGGGGUUUUCAAUGGCAAUCACUCAUAUCUUUGCAAAUUAUUAUUGUCAGAGUUAAAUUCUCUCAUCUGCUGUAUUUUGGCUGAAUGUGCCUUAACAAUUGUUUUGAGCAUUGUGGCAAGAAAGGGAAGGAGAGUCACUAGAUGGCAUUUUUACUUCAGCUUUUACCACUGUGCAAGUUCAGUUGCUGUCCUAAAUGUGAGGCCUCUCUUCUCUCAGUCAGGAUGGUUUCAAUCCCAGGAGAAGGUAGGUGAACUCUUGCUGGAAUAAUUACAGCAAAUCCCAUUUUUCCUUCUACACAACAAUUUGGUAAAAGGAGCAUCCAAAAGGGUCUCGCUCACUCAGAAAACACCUCUGGAACAAACACUGGACCUCAGUGAGAUCAUCCCUGACAGAGCUCUGCAGCAAAGACAAACAAGCAGCUUCCACUUGUGCCAGCUGAGGCUCAAAGGAAAAGGAUUAUUUUGCUGAGGCUAAGAGCUGAGUCUCAAGGGUCGGGGAGCUGUGGAUUUUAGAAUGUUUGGGAAAGGCAGAACCACUCAAUGACCAGUGGGGUCAGCAUGGCCUUGUGAGGCACCUGAGAUUAGGAAAAUAAUAUGAACUUUGGAGGGGAAAAAGAAGUUACAACUACAGUUAUGUUCUAGUUAUGGGAGGAUCUGUGGGCGAGUGAUUUUUCAUUUUUGUCUCAAGCAUGAUUUUUAAAGGAUAUCCCAGAAGCAAAUUUAAAGAGCUUAGAACUUACUUU